rnacentral:rRNA from 1 species
GACGUAGGGUCCAAGCGUUGUCCGGAUUUACUGGGCGUAAAGAGCGCGUAGGCGGCUCGUUAAGUGUGGUGUGAAAUCUCCAGGGCUCAACCCGGAAACUGCACCGCAUACUGGCGAGCUUGAGGAAUGCAGAGGUAACUGGAAUUCCUGGUGUAGCGGUGAAAUGCGUAGAUAUCUGGAGGAACACCGGUGGCGAAGGCGACAUCUGGACCGGUAUUGACGCUGAGGCGCGAA